CGGACACAGAGGAAGGCAGGCGGGAGGUCUAGGGCAGUGGCGCAGCUGAGAAAGAGAUCCCAAGUGGUCCACGGGUCUCUCAAUGAAAUCAGCCUUGGCAGAGCUGCAUCAAUCCGAAUGAAACACCCGCUGCAGUUACUGAGUGGUGCUGAAUAAAAACCAUUGGCCGAGGGGACAGUAAGCCUUCGGAAAGGGUGCAAAGAGGGAAUCCUAACUGCCUAAGCAUGAACAAACGACUACCAAUCCUUGCUGACCCAGUCGACUAAACCCUCCACCGGACCUCCUCUUGGGUCAUGGCUCCGGUGUCACAUGUCAGCAAACAAGAAAAGCAUA